GAUGAACGCUGACAGCAUGCUUAACACAUGCAAGUCUACUUGAACUUCGGUUUGGGUGGCGGACGGGUGAGUAACGCGUAAAGAACUUGCCUCACAGUUAGGGACAACAUUUGGAAACGAAUGCUAAUACCUGAUAUUAUGAUUUUAGGGCAUCCUAGGUUUAUGAAAGCUAUAUGUGCUGUGAGAGAGCUUUGCGUCCCAUUAGCUGGUUGGAGGGGUAACGGCUCACCAAGGCGAUGAUGGGUAGCCGGCCUGAGAGGGUGAACGGCCAAAAGGGGACGGGGACACGGCCCUUACUCCUACGGGAGGCAGCGUGGGGGAAUAUUGGACAAGGGACCAAAAGUCUGGUCCAGCAAUUCUGUGUGCACGAUGACGUUUUUCGGAAUGUAAAGUGCUUUCAGUUGAGAAGAAAAAAAUGACGGUACCAACAGAAGAAGAGACGGCUAAAUACGUG
rnacentral:rRNA from 1 species